GAUGAACGCUAGCGACAGGCCUAACACAUGCAAGUCGAGGGGCAGCACGAAUCAAGCUUGCUUGAUUUGGUGGCGACCGGCGCACGGGUGCGUAACAGGUGUGCAAUCUGUCCAUAAUCGGGGAAUAGCCCAGCGAAAGUUGGAUUAAUGCUCCAUGUGAGUUUUAGAGGCAUCUCUUUAACUUGAAACGCAAGGAUUAUGGGUGAGCACGCUUCUGAUUAGGUAGUUGGUGAGGUAACGGCUCACCAAGCCGACGAUCAGUAGGGGUUCUGAGAGGAAGGUCCCCCACAUUGGAACUGAGACACGGUCCAAACUCCUACGGGAGGCAGCAGUGAGGAAUAUUGGUCAAUGGGCGCAAGCCUGAACCAGCCAAGUCGCGUGAAGGAUGAAGGUUCUAUGGAUUGUAAACUUCUUUUGUCUGAGGGUAAAAGCGGACGUGUCCGUUCUUGCAAGUAUCAGACGAAUAAGCAUCGGCUAACUCCGUGCCAGCAGCCGCAGUAAGAC
rnacentral:rRNA from 1 species